rnacentral:rRNA from 1 species
GGGGCUUCACCGCCUACCAAAUCCUGACAAACUCCGAAUGCCAGUAGUAUGAUUUACAGCAGUGAGUGACUGGGUGCUAAUGUCCAGUCGCAAAAGAGGAACAACUCAGACCAGCAACUAAGGUCCCGAAGAAUAUGCUAAGUUGAUCUAACGAUGUUUUGUUGCAGAGACAGCUAGGAUGUUAGCUUGGAAGCAGCUAUUCAUUCAAAGAGUGCGUAACAGCUCACUAGUCGAGCGGCAAAGCGUGGAUAAUAAACGGGCAUCAAGUAUACCACCGAAGUUCUGGGCACGAGAGUGCGGUAGGGGAGCAUUCCAUUGACGUCGAAGCCAUUCCGCGAGGAUAGGUGGAGUUUAUGGAAAAGCAAAUGUAGGCAUGAGUAACGAUAAUGCGGGAGAGUAACCCGCACACCGCAAGACCAAGGUUUCCUGAUCAACGCUAAUCGGAUCAGGGUUAGUCGGGUCCUAAGGGUAAGCCGAACGGCGAUCUCGAUGGAUAAUCGGUUAAUAUUCCGAUACUAACAUAUACCUCGAUGGAGAGACGAAGGAACGUAAGUGCCGCCACCUGACGGAAUAGGUGGUUAAAGGGCGUAGGUAUAGGGGCAGAUUAAGAGUUAGUCCUUGCUGAAACCUGACAGUACAGAGAGCCUACGGGCAAUUUGAUAGAGCACCCAAGUCGACUUCCGAGAAAAUCUUCUAAGUUAUAGUAUAUGUUACCCGUACCGUAAACCGACACAGGUGGUCGAGGAGAGUAUCCUAAGGUGCUCGAGUGAAUCACGGUUAAGGAACUAGGCAAAUUAACCCCGUAACUUCGGGAAAAGGGGUCCCUAUGAAAGUAGGGCGCAGCGAAGAGGUCCAGGCGACUGUUUAUCAAAAACACAGGGCUCUGCAAAUUCGAAAGAAGACGUAUAGGGCCUGACACCUGCCCGGUGCUGGAAGGUUAAGAGGGGAUGUCAUCGCAAGAGAAGCAUUGAAUCGAAGCCCCAGUAAACGGCGGCCGUAACUAUAACGGUCCUAAGGUAGCGAAAUUCCUUGUCGGGUAAGUUCCGACCUGCACGAAUGGUGUAACGAUCUGGACACUGUCUCAACCGUGAGCUCGGUGAAAUUGUAGUCCCGGUGAUGAUGCCGGGUACCCGCAACGGGACGAAAAGACCCCGUGAACCUUUACUAUAGCUUAACGCUGAAUUUGGGUACACAAUGUGUAGGAUAGGCCGGAGGCUUUGAAGCGGGCACGCCAGUGUUCGUGGAGCCGACGUUGAAAUACGGCCCUUUGUGUAUUUGAGUUCUAACCCUGCGAAGGGGACACCGUUUGGUGGGUAGUUUGACUGGGGUGGUCGCCUCCAAAAGCGUAACGGAGGCUUCCCAAGGUACCCUCAGCACGAAUGGUAACCGUGCGCGGAGUGCAAUAGCAUAAGGGUGCUUGACUGUGAGACAUACAAGUCGACCAGGUACGAAAGUAGGGUAUAGUGAUCCGGUGGUUCUGCGUGGACUGGCCAUCGCUCAAAGGAUAAAAGGUACUCCGGGGAUAACAGGCUGAUCGCCGCCAAGAGCUCAUAUCGACGCGGCGGUUUGGCACCUCGAUGUCGGCUCGUCACAUCCUGGGGCUGGAGAAGGUCCCAAGGGUUCGGCUGUUCGCCGAUUAAAGUGGCACGCGAGCUGGGUUCAGAACGUCGUGAGACAGUUCGGUCUCUAUCUGUUGCGGGCGUAGGAAGAUUGAGGGGUCCUGACUUUAGUACGAGAGGACCGAGUUGGACGAACCUCCGGUGUAUCGGUUAUGCUGCCAAGUGUACUGCCGAGUAGCCGCGUUCGGUCUGGAUAAGCGCUGAAAGCAUCUAAGCGCGAAGCCAUCCCCGAGAUAAGUCUUCCCUUGAGGGGCGUAGGAGACUAUUACGUUGAUAGGCUGCAGGUGUAAAGACAGCAAUGUCAAAGCCGAGCAGUACUAAUUACCCGAUAGGCUUUCUUUUU